rnacentral:rRNA from 1 species
CCUACGGGAGGCAGCAGUGGGGAAUAUUGCACAAUGGGGGGAACCCUGAUGCAGCGACGCCGCGUGAGUGAAGAAGUAUUUCGGUAUGUAAAGCUCUGUCAGCAGGGAAGAAGAAAGACGGUACCUGACCAAGAAGCCCCGGCUAACUACGUGCCAGCAGCCGCGGUAAUACGUAGGGGGCAAGCGUUAUCCGGAUUUACUGGGUGUAAAGGGAGCGUAGACGGCAGGGCAAGUCUGGAGUGAAAGGCAGGGGACCAACCCCUGGACUGCUCUGGAAACUGUCCGGCUGGAGUGCAGGAGAGGUAAGUGGAAUUCCUAGUGUAGCGGUGAAAUGCGUAGAUAUUAGGAGGAACACCAGUGGCGAAGGCGGCUUACUGGACUGUAACUGACGUUGAGGCUCGAAAGCGUGGGGAGCAAACAGGAUUAGAUACCCCGGUAGUC